UUAUGCGAACCUCCCGGAUCGUUAUCGAAUUCUAGAAAUUUUAGAGAUUUUUUAAUUUGUGAGAAGUGUAUAUACAAUGCGCAAAUUUUACAAAUUCAAAAACUUCUACAAAAUUUUACCAGAAAAUAAUGCAAUUUCCAAUGGCAAAUUCUACUGUAAAAACGCAAGUUUCCUAAUUAACAGAAAAAUAGCACAUUUUAAUAUGUAUAUUUACUGUAAAAUUGAACGAUUUCAAAUGUAAUACUUGACGCUGCAAUUAAAAGGUCGAGUCUAGCAAUGGUAUUUUUGUAUUUUUUGAAGUAUCUUGUUCAGCAUUUGUUUUAUACAUAACUUUAUGAUGAAAAAUUAAUAAAAAGUAGCUUUUAAAAGUUAAAGUACAGCAUUAUUUUAGCCGAACGUUUAAUUGUAUAUUUUAAACAGUGAAUUUAAAUUAAAAUUUUUACAUAUUUCGUGAAGAAAUUUUGAUAAAUCGUGGGUCAAGUUUAUUACCAUUAAUAUUAGAAAUUGAAUAACGAGAAAAAUUUGUAUAUUUUAUAGCUCUCUUAUGGAGCUCUUAGUUUUAAAUUACUUUAUCUACGAAUUCUCGUAUUGAAUUUAGAAUUGACGGAAUAUAUAUUAAUUCUUGGUGGCGCACUUAAAAUGUUGGUAGAUGAACACUUUGGAGUCAAAACAUCCGUUUCAGGCUCAACUGCGCUAAGAAAACAACCAGAAAAUUACAAACCCGGAGUUUUCCGACUUCUCGGAAAACCAAAAUAUGUAGAAGGACGAACGGAUUUCCAUUACUUUCCAGCGAACAAGCAGUGGUCUGUACGCCACUCAUCCAAUUCAAGAAUUUAAACAUAUAUUCCAUAUGCAUAUAUAACUAUAAUAUAACUAUCUUACAAAGUGUUCCAUUUGGUGGUGGGGAUAGAUUGCAUCAGUAAUACUACUGAAUAUGUCUUAUAUAUAAUCAGGGUUAUUUUAAAGAGUUGGUAUCUGACAAGCUCAUGUAGAGGUCUGAACAGAAAUGGAUUCUCCUCAUGUAAAUGUGCAUAUGAAUAAUAAAAUAAAAAAGAUGAGCACAAA